GCUAGGUGUGGUGGUGAACACCUGCAAUCUCAACCAACCAAGAGGCUGAAGUCAACAGAAUUCUUGUGCUUGGGACUUCUGAGUGGCUGCAGACUAUGCCAAUCAGGGGUCCACACUAAGUUUAGUAUUGAUAUCGUGUGCCCCACCUCCAGAGGUAAGGGGGAUGCCAGGUGCCAGAGAAGGGAUUAAUCAAUCUAGGUUGGAAAAGGAGCAGAUCAAAGUUUCCCUGCGAAUCAAUAGUGGGAGCAGUCCAUGAAUAGCCCCUGCAUUCUAGCCUAGGCAAGAUGGGAAGACACAGUAUUUU
rnacentral:SRP_RNA from 1 species